AGUGAACGCUGGCGGUAGGCCUAACACAUGCAAGUCGAACGGCAGCACAGUAAGAGCUUGCUCUUACGGGUGGCGAGUGGCGGACGGGUGAGGAAUACAUCGGAAUCUACUUUUUCGUGGGGGAUAACGUAGGGAAACUUACGCUAAUACCGCAUACGACCUACGGGUGAAAGCAGGGGAUCUUCGGACCUUGCGCGAUUGAAUGAGCCGAUGUCGGAUUAGCUAGUUGGCGGGGUAAAGGCCCACCAAGGCGACGACCCGUAGCUGGUCUGAGAGGAUGAUCAGCCACACUGGAACUGAGACACGGUCCAGACUCCUACGGGAGGCAGCAGUGGGGAAUAUUGGACAAUGGGCGCAAGCCUGAUCCAGCCAUACCGCGUGAGUGAAGAAGGCCUUCGGGUUGUAAAGCCCUUUUGUUGGGAAAGAAAGGCAGCAGGUUAAUACCCCGCUGUUCUGACGGUACCCAAAGAAUAAGCACCGGCUAACUUCGUG
rnacentral:rRNA from 1 species